rnacentral:lncRNA from 1 species
AAGCCUCCUCGUCCUCUGUCUUGGUGCGCACAACUCACUCCCUGCAUUUGCAACGCUGAACACAUGAUGUCCCCGCAGUGAACAACAGUCGAAUCUGCAGGCUUUUGAUUGUGCCAGGCGGAGCGCUGGUUCCAAUAAAAGGGAGCGUGUGCAGGAGUGCAGAAGGAGGUUGAGCAGUGGCCGGUGUUGCUGGAACUUGCCUGCCUGCUGCCACAUCUACACUUGCACCUGCUGCUUGUGUCCCCAGACGUGCCACAAGCCUGGCAUCGCCGGUCUGCCUUGUUUGCAAGCCCAAACGAGACUUCAUGCAGCGGCACCAACUGCAACUGCGCCCAUGCACUGCACGAUGCUGUAUCGGUGAGGCAUGCAGAUGAAGCUUGGAUAUUCCUGUAUAUCUACCUGAGUCUCUGCUGAAAUCUACUGUCCUUCAGCUGCAGACGUGAUGACAUCGGCAAAGAUCAACAUACCAUGGAGUUGGUGCAAGAUGACCUCCAGGAAAUGUGUCAUUCCUUGUGCAGCAUCAGGAUGGAAAAAGCAGCGCGCCAGGCAGCAUGCGCCUGACAUUCUUCCAUGGGGUGUACAACAGAGGAACGGCUGCGGAGCUGCAGCAACAAUAUGGAGCAGCCCAUUUGGUCUUCGGGCCAAAUGCAGGCAUGCCACAGAUGCUGAGCUAAACAAUGACCUUUGGAUGAUGGCAGCAGCAAUACAA